UACGUAGGUCCCGAGCGUUGUCCGGACUUAUUGGGCGUAAAGCGAGCGCAGGUGGUUUAUUAAGUCUGGUGUAAAAGGCAGUGGCUCAACCAUUGUAUGCAUUGGAAACUGGUAGGCUUGAGUGCAGGAGAGGAGAGUGGAAUUCCAUGUGUAGCGGUGAAAUGCGUAGAUAUCACGCAGAACCCCGAUUGCGAAGGCAGCCUUCCGGCGCCCUACUGACGCUGAGGCACGAAAGUGCGGGGAUCGAACAGG
rnacentral:rRNA from 1 species